CGGCGGACGGGUGAGUAAUGUCUCGGGAAACUGCCUGAUGGAGGGGGAUAACUACUGGAAACGGUAGCUAAUACCGCAUAACGUCUCAGGACCAAAGAGGGGGACCUUCAGGCCUCUUGCCAUCGGAUGUGCCCAGAUGGGAUUAGCUAGUAGGUGGGGUAACGGCUCACCUAGGCGACGAUCCCUAGCUGGUCUGAGAGGAUGACCAGCCACACUGGAACUGAGACACGGUCCAGACUCCUACGGGAGGCAGCAGUGGGGAAUAUUGCACAAUGGGCGCAAGCCUGAUGCAGCCAUGCCGCGUGUGUGAAGAAGGCCUUCGGGUUGUAAAGCACUUUCAGCGGGGAGGAAGGUGGUAAGGUUAAUACCUUUGCUCAUUGACGUUACCCGCAGAAGAAGCACCGGCUAACUCCGUGCCAGCAGCCGCGGUAAUACGGAGGGUGCAAGCGUUAAUCGGAAUUACUGGGCGUAAAGCGCACGCAGGCGGUUUGUUAAGUCAGAUGUGAAAUCCCCGGGCUCAACCUGGGAACUGCAUUUGAUACUGGCAAGCUAGAGUCUCGUAGAGGGGGGUAGAAUUCCAGGUGUAGCGGUGAAAUGCGUAGAGAUCUGGAGGAAUACCGGUGGCGAAGGCGGCCCCCUGGACUAACACUGACGCUCAUGUGCGAAAGCGUGAGGAGCAAACAGGAUUAGAUACCCUGGUAGUCCACGCCGUAAACGAUGUCGACUUGGAGGUU
rnacentral:rRNA from 1 species